ACCAAAACCAAUAAGCAGACAAGCAAAUCUCUUGGUCGAGUCUACAAAUCUCUGGAAUUCGUAGAUCAGACAUCCAUUUGAACGUCUUUUGGACGCUGGACGUCUAUGAUCGAAUCUCCACAUUAGCCAGCGAAAACCGCAUAGGGGCCAAGCGAAUCCAGCAAA
rnacentral:sRNA from 1 species